rnacentral:misc_RNA from 1 species
UGUCAGUCCCAAUACUGCAGG